UCCCCAUUCGACCCGUCUUGUAACACGGACCAAGGAGUCUAACAUGCUUGCGAGUAUUUGGGUGUCAAACCCGGAUGCGCAAUGAAAGUGAAUGAAGGUGGGAUCCGCAAGGUGCACCAUCGACCGAUCUGGAUUUUUUAAGAUGGAUUUGAGUAAGAGCAAUUAUGUUGGGACCCGAAAGAUGGUGAACUAUGC
rnacentral:rRNA from 1 species